rnacentral:rRNA from 1 species
UACAGAGGUCUCAAGCGUUGUUCGGAUUCAUUGGGCGUAAAGGGUGCGUAGGCGGCGCGGUAAGUCGGGUGUGGAAAUCUCGGAGCUUAACUCCGAAACUGCAUUCGAUACUGCCGUGCUUGAGGACUGGAGAGGAGACUGGAAUUUACGGUGUAGCGGUGAAAUGCGUAGAUAUCGUAAGGAAGACCAGUGGCGAAGGCGGGUCUCUGGACAGUUCCUGACGCUGAGGCACGGAAGGUCAGGGGGAGCAAACGGG